UCAAUGUAGUACCACCCUCGACCUCGUGGUAAUUUUGUGAAGAAAGGCUGAAGACGUUCAAUCAAACAGUGUUGUUAAUUUUCAAGAAAGAGGCUUUAAGCUCGCACACGCACUGUACUCGUCCUCACGCUCAUCCUUGCCAACAGAUGGAACUUUGAUUGGAUUUAUAUAACUGGCCGGUGUAUGGAACGAUGCAUUCAACCCUCCGAAGCCGUGUCAAACUGCAAAACAGUGGGGGACCCUUUGACGCCUUUACUCGACUCCCCCUCCCAACCAUUAAUCCUGAUCUGGAUACCUGUGUUCUAGAAGCAUCACUAACUUGGAGUUUACUUCAGCAAAAGCAAAAUGCAGGCGGCACCAAGACAAGCUAACUGAGCAUCCUUUCCAAGCUUAGAAAUAUGGACAUCCUCUGAUCUUUCUGAUACAACAUUCAACCAUCCUAUUAAGUGUAGAGUGUACAUGUAACUAGAUGACAAACCGUUCAUAUAUCAUAUAGUGCAAAUUUUGGAGGCACUUACAUUUCGUGGAUUGGCCUCCAAAGCAUUUUCGGUGCACAAUGUUUGCGGAAUGGCUGCUUACCUGAAGCCACGCCUUUACCCACGAAAUCCGCGAAAAUUAAGUCCCUCGAAACUUUCGCGUUAUACGGUAAUUAAGUUACCUUCAGAAAGCACAAUGGCAAUCUUUAGCCCUCUGAGGUCGAGGGCGGGCAAUUGUUGAGAUCGGAGCAUUCGCAAAAUAAUAUCUUUCUAACUUUCAAUUCAAGUGGUACACUGACGGAAUGAGAGGCCAGUAUCAGCAUUCUGGAAAUAUCUUUUUUUGUUCUCAACUUACUAUUUCGGUGAAUGGCAAUUCUAAAUUUCCGUGGCAUUUAUGGUACCUCAGUCCUGACAAUGCAAAACUUCAACUACUCUUCUAUAGCAAAAUUUACUCAACUAGCCCUUUUUAGAGAUGAAGGGCAGGUGAAAAAAAACACUCCUAGAAAUCACCUUACUACCUACAAAACUGGCCUAUUAUUCUGCUUUAAAGUGAUAUAAAUAUGACAGAAUCAACGCUCUAACUUACCAGGCAUGAAACAGUUAAGCCAUGGACAUCUGGCCUAACCAAACUGAUCUUCGUUGAAAUCCCGCCAAAACGUGAUUAUGUAGGAGGACAAGAAGUGUUUCAACGGAUAUCAUUGCAACUGUUGUUCGUUUCCAAUCUCUCCCUUUUCUAUCUAUGCGUUAACAGCCUUGGAAAUUCUUUUUUACUGGUGUGGUCAGUCAUUACCAAGUAUUUUACGUCGCUCACGGACUAGACUUAUUGUAAAUUACUGAAAGAGGUGAUGUCUCGAGGAGAUACAAUGAGCGAGUUACCCGGGACGAAAAGCUGAAAAGCUAAUAGUUUUCGAGGCCUAUGUGUAGAAUCAAUGUUAAAUGGUCACGUGCACCCCUCUCUAUGAUGGAGGUAUACUUUGAGACUUGUGUAUACUUACUCAAUUCAUGACUCACAGUCAAGUAGGAAUCUACCAAUACGCCAUCCCAAAGUAUUUUAAUUUUUGUAGAUAGACCUAGCAACUGGUUGUCAGGGUCGUUAUUUGUUGACAUAAGUGGACUGUUGAGUAGUAGAGUAGGUAAACGCCAAGGUUUGUGCAUGCGUACUAGUAUCUAAAUGAUAGACACUGUUUUGUCGGUGUCCCUAACCAUUUUAGUUAUGUUCCACACACCUAGUGCUUGGCGUAUUGCUUGGACGAGCGUGAAGGUGCUGGGUUCAUUGUUAGGAGCUGGUUUAGGACGGGAUGGAACCAUUAUUGCACCCAUGUGAUUUAGAAGCUCUCAGUUACUUGCAGUAUCCUCGCUACGCUGAUGCAUAUGCAUGCUUUGCAGAAAGUUAAAGUCAUUCAUGAUGUGUUCUAUGCUAUUCUAUGCUAUUGCCAAGUUGUGUGUUAAUGUCAAAGUUUGUGUAACUGCUUUGCAAACACCGUUUAUUUCUACAGCAUUUACCUUGAAUAUGUUGUUAUUUAGAUCCUAGUUAAUUGUUUGAACAAUUCAAAAAAGAGGCCAUUGUUCAAGAGAGGCAUUUAUUAGCACCUGCUAAUUCAGUAACCUUUAGUUUUGUCAUCAAAAGUUUCACCUGCAUAAACUCAAUCUCUGCCAUGUACAUGCACAAGUCAUACCAGAAGCCUGAAUGUUGCAUUAUUUCGACGUUUGUAUGUAUCUAUUUUGCUCUGUCCUAAACUGUAUGCAGUAUGAGCUGAUUAGGAUUUCAGGUUGGUUGGCAGAAUUAAAAGUUGAAUUGCAGUCAUUGGUAGGAAAUUACUGUUGUGUAGGAAAAUUAACAGGGCUCGAAAUUACAAAUUACGGUCAUUAGGUGAUUGUGACUGACCGACAUACAUUUGUCAGAGCAUACAUGUAGAGCUAGGGUCUAGCUUUAGCUGCCCUUUUUGAGUUCUAUAGUUCCUACGAAAAAAACUCAGGAGUGUGGAUAAAUGGAUUAGUGAAAGUGACAAUCAUGGCUCUAGGACGUUAAAUGUAGUUUGCAAGCUGGCUGUCUGAAGUUCUUAGUUUGUUUUCGUCUCUCUUUGGCUGGUGGGAUGGUGGUUCUUUCUGGAGGGCAUCUCGAAAAAAUCAUGUUAAAACUUAUCACUACUCCACUAGGUACUUCCACUACUUGUAUUCAAUGUAGUUUGCAAGCGGACUGUCUGAAGUUCUUAGUUUGUUCUCGUCUCUCUUUGGCUGGUCUUUGUCUUUGUUCAGAUUAUGGACAGUAGCUUUUUGAAGAUAUGAGGCCUGAUGGGCUGGUGGUUCUUUCUGGAUGGCAAUUCGAAGAGAUCUUGUUAAAACUUAUUACUACUCCACUAAGUACUGCACUACUUGUAUGGUCUGGUGGUUCUUUCUGGAGGGCAACUCGAAAAUAUCUUGUUAGGUACUUCACUACUUGUAUGGUCUGGUGGUUCUUUCUGGAGGGCAACUCGAAGAGAUCUUGUUAAAACUUAUCACUACUCCACUAGGUACUUCACUACUUGUAUUCAAUGUAGUUUGCAAGCGGACUGUCUGAAGUUCUUAGCAUCUCUCUCUUUGGCUGGUGGGCUCUCGAAGAAAACGUAUCACUACUUGCGCAUUAAUUAUUAACCUACAAAAACAGCUAGGAAAACUCCACUAAGCACUUCACUACUUCUAUGGUCUGGUGGUUCUUUCUGGAGGGCAACUCGAAAAGAUCUUGUUAAAACUUAUCACUACUCUACUAGGUACUUCACUACUUGUAUGGUCUGGUGGUUCUUUCUGGAGGGCAACUCGAAGAGAUCUUGUUAACUUAUCACUACUCCACUAAGUACUGCACUACUUGUAUGGUCUGGUGGUUCUUUCUGGAGGGCAACUCGAAAAUAUCUUGUUAGGUACUUCACUACUUGUAUGGUCUGGUGGUUCUUUCUGGAGGGCAACUCGAAGAGAUCUUGUUAAAACUUAUCACUACUCCACUAGGUACUUCACUACUUGUAUUCAAUGUAGUUUGCAAGCGGACUGUCUGAAGUUCUUAGUUUGUUCUCAUCUCUCUCUUUGGCUGGUGGGCUCUCUUUGGAAAACGUAUCACUACUUGCGCAUUAAUUAUUAACCUACAAAAACAGCUAGGAAAACUCCACUAAGCACUUCACUACUUCUAUGGUCUGGUGGUUCUUUCUGGAGGGCAACUCGAAGAGAUCUUGUUAAAACUUAUCACUACUCCACUAGGUACUUCACUACUUGUAUUCAAUGUAGUUUGCAAGCGGACUGUCUGAAGUUCUUAGUUUGUUCUCAUCUCUCUCUUUGGCUGGUGGGCUCUCGAAGAAAACGUAUCACUACUUGCGCAUUAAUUAUUAACCUACAAAAACAGCUAGGAAAACUCCACUAAGCACUUCACUACUUCUAUGGUCUGGUGGUUCUUUCUGGAGGGCAACUCGAAGAGAUCUUGUUAAAACUUAUCACUACUCCACUAGGUACUUCACUACUUGUAUUCAAUGUAGUUUGCAAGCGGACUGUCUGAAGUUCUUAGUUUGUUCUCAUCUCUCUCUUUGGCUGGUGGGCUCUCGAAGAAAACGUAUCACUACUUGCGCAUAAAUUAUUAACCUACAAAAAAAGCUAGGAAUGCAGUGUACUUCACUACUUGUACUUGUAUCUCCCCAACAAGCCCAGUUGUUUAGAAUUGUACAACACCAAGAAAAACACUGCAACAUAUUGUCUACAAUUAUUCAUCAUUAUUUACUUGAAUUAGUUUGUUGCAGCUCACUCUCUUGGGAAUACUUUUUAAGCGGCCCUGUCGUAAAUAAGAAACAGCAGACUGUAUAAUAACUGCUAUAAGUGUACCCUGCAAUGCUAACAUACUUAUAGUAGGUGUGCCGUAUUCCCUCAAAAGCUCUUUCCUUUCCCCCAUUGUUCCAGUUAGAGACGUCAGUUUACAGUAUACAAUUGACGCAGAGUGAUCAUUGCCAAAUGAGACUAUUACUGAGCUGCAUUGAACACACAUUAUAAUAAUAGUUAAUGUUCUUUUUACGAUUCUGACGGCGGUACCUCCAUUCGCCAUCGGUGAUUUCACAGACAAUUCUAAAACUAUAUGUGUUUAGAAUCACAAGCACUUGCUUGCAUUUACAUAUGUCGCGAGGAACGUGUUCUGUAAUUUGUAUGCUACGCGAUUUUAAAUGUUUUUGAGUGUGUUUUUUUAUCGAUAGAUAACAUACAUUUUUGUGGUGUAUACAAAAGUCUACAAUGUCAUUGAAUGUCAACUUUAGCCUUUGUAGCAAUCAAUACUACCAUUCUGGCAUCUUAUGACUCUCAGUUGUUAGCGAUGCGCUCACCGAAAAAGCAUACAUUUAUGUGUAUACAAAAGUCUACAAUGUCAUUGAAUGUCAACUUUAGCCUUUGUAGCAAUCAAUACUACCAUUCUGGCAUCUUAUGACUCCCAGUUGUUAAUGCGAUGUGCUCACCGAAAAAGCAUACAUUUAUGUGUAUACAAAAGUCUACAAUGUCACUGAAUGUCAACUUUAGCCUUUGUUGCAAUCAACACUACCAUUCUGGCAUUUGAUGUUACUGAAUGUCAACUUUAGCCUUUGAUUUUGCUUUUGUUACAAUCAACACUACCAUUCUGGAAUUUUAUGACUCCCAGUUGUUAAUGCGAUGCGCUCACCGAAAAAGCAUACAUUUAUGUGUAUACAAAAGUCUGAAUGUCAACUUUAUCCAUAAGCAUCUUCAUCAACACUACCAUUCUGGCAUUUUAUGUUGUUUUAGAAUCUUCUGUGCAACUUUCAUUUCUUGUCUCGUGGUUGCACUGAUUAUUGGAAUAGUAAAAUUUUUUUUUUGUUUAAACGCAUGUGCAAAUCAUCAACUUUAGCCUUUGCUGUAAAUCAACACUACCAUUCUGGCAUCUUAAGACUCCCAGUUGUUGGGUGUCAUGUGUUGAUGGCAGGUGCGGUGAUAAUGCGCUCACCGAAAAAGCAUACAUUUAUGUGUAUGCAAAAGUCUAAAUGUCAACUUUAUCCAUAAGCAUCUUCAUCAACACUACCAUUCUGGCAUUUUAUGUUGUUUUAGAAUCUUCUGUGCAACUUUCAUUUCUUGUCUCGUAGUUGCACUGAUUAUUAGAAUAGUUAAAUUUUUUUUGUUUAAACGCAUGUGCAAAUCAUCAACUUUAGCCUUUGCUGUAAAUCAACACUACCAUUCUGGUAUCUUAAGACUCCCAGUUGUUAGGUGUCAUGUGUUGAUGGCAGGUGGGGUGAUAAUGCGCUCACCGAAAAAGCAUACAUUUAUG